rnacentral:lncRNA from 1 species
CCGAGUUUAUUUAUUAUGGUAAUACAUACUAAGUCAGAGCAGAAUCUAUUUUUGUCGACGUUGUACAAUAAAUUGAUUAUUGAUAAAUAUCUUUCAUUGGAACGGUGAACACAUUGACUGAUCUAUGGAAAUACUGAGAAUUUUCUUCAAGUUCCACGCAGAGUUUUGUAAUAUCAAAGAGAUGAUGAAGGUUUCUUGAAACGUACAGUACGAAGAUAUAAAGGAGAAAAAAAUAAUAGAAAAAACUAGGCACUAAUGAGGAUAAUUCUGAACUAACUCCCAAAGUAAGGCUAUAAUGGUUCCACAAACAUCUUAUCGAAAAAGGAUUCCUAAGGGAGCUCUUUAAAUAUGGCGAUAUAAUAUUUAUUUGCAAGUGAGGAAAACCCACUUUAAAAGAUAUAAGCCUUCCCAUCUCUAAAGCUUUUAUUCCCUAAUCAAAUGUGAUGGGUCUGCCAUCUGCGGACAGAAAAAUGUAUCUGCUGGAUUCUGUGCAGAGUGAAGCGUCCUGACGUCCGUGAUGUUUCAAGACGUCGACGAUAGAUGUCUACAGAACUUACAAAAGAAAAUUUAUUUAAUUUAGAUAGAAUUUUCAAAGAUUCAAAGUAUGUAUUAUUUGCGAGAAAGUUUCAAAUGUAUUUUAAAGAUGUUUUUUUUUAUAUUUUUGGUGGGAAUAAGCAACAAUUUUACUUUAAAAUUAAGUUUAUUUGAUGUUUCGAUUUCUAUUUCGGAAAUCAUUGUUCAAAAUUAAAAAAAAUUUGGUUUUUGUUGCUUGGUAAAAAAAAUUCUUCCAAUAAUUUAAUUUUAUCUGACUCACUCAUAUUGACAAUUCAGACAUAAUAUAUUUAUAUUAUUAUACAUUUUAAAGUAGAUGAUUUUAAAAUGAUAUUUGCCAAUAAUUAUAAUUCAUAAAUUCCUGGGAUGACUACUAUAUUUGAAGAUUGUGUUCAUUGUGUUUAUUGGUGUUCAGUGGAAAGAUUCGAAUGUACUCAGUCCUGAAAGAAGCAGAUAGUAAAAAGAGAAAAAUCAAAGACGGGGUUCUAAUUAUGUUAAAUGAAACCAAUUCUGUAGCAAAUCCUCGGCAGAAUGCAGUAGGAUCUGGUUACCCAUUAAAGAGGAAAUCAAUAGAAAGAAAAUACUUAUACUAGGUAUAGGUAGUAAGUCAAUAAUACGAUAAUUUUAAAUAAAAUUGUGGUUUAUUCCCACCAAAAAUACUAAAUUGCAUUAAGAUGCCACAAAAAUAGCUUCAGAACAAUAUUUUAUUCAUUUGA